UUCCAGGACACAAACAGUUCCAUCCACUACACGGCAUAUGUUGCAAUUUCACUUCUCGAAACCAAAUACAGCUUGGGGAAAACGCUGCUGGAAGGAGCUAUGGGGUGUCUGAAAAAUGCAUCAAAAA